GGAUUGUUCACCCACCAAUAGGGAACGUGAGCUGGGUUUAGACCGUCGUGAAACAGGUUAGUUUUACCCCACUGGUGACAACGUUGCAAUAGUAAUUCAACCUAGUACGAGAGGAAUCGUUGAUUCACAUAAUUGGUCAUCGAGCUUGGUUGAAAAGCCAGUAACGUGAAGCUACCGUGCGCUAGAUUAUGACUGAACACCUCUAAGUCAGAAUCUGGGCUAGAAGCGAUGCAUGCGCCUGCCACCUGCUUGUCGACCAGCAGUAGGGGCCGUCCGGCCCCCAAAAGCAUGUGUCAUUGGUGAAGCUUGCGCGGUGGAUAAACUGCGCAGGCCGCCUUGAACUACAAUUCCUAUCUCGAACGGCGAGUAGAAUCCUUUACAGACGACUUAAAUACGCGACAAGGUAUUGUAAGUGGCAGAGUGUCCUUGCUGCCAUGAUCCACUAAGAUUCAGCCCUGCGUCGCUCCGAUUCGUCCCUCCC
rnacentral:rRNA from 1 species